rnacentral:lncRNA from 1 species
UGAUAUUGAUUAUAGUUGUUUCAUAUGCAUAGAACAUAAGAGAAAUGCAAAUUGCUCUUAACCUCCUUUUCCCCUCCUUUCUUCACUUCCUUAGUUUCCUUCUUCCCUUCCCAUUAUUAUGUGUUAUAUGAAGAGUCUUUAAAUCUUUAUUUAGACCUGCAAGAAACUGGGAAAGAAUGUAUCAAGCAGGAAAUGGAAUCAUUUUCACAUUCUUGUAACAUUAAAUUCAAAAAAUAUACUUAAGCGAUUGGGUAAAUGCCUUUCUGUGUCAUCUGGGGGCACUUUUGCUACCACAUAUGCUAGUCUUUGGAUUUGCCUCAAGGUUUAUGUCACCAGAGUUGAAUUUUGCCCCUUUCCUGCCCUCCCUUAGCUGCUGUUUAUCAAGAACUUUAUGUGUAGUUCAGCUGCUGCUUAUCAGUGUAAAUGAUCUGGGCCACUGAGAAGAACAGCAAAAGACAUUAAUAAAGUUUGCUUUCUGGGUUGCUUACCAUGAAAAGUUUAUUUAGGAGCUGAAUCUCCUUUUAAAAGAAUCACUCCGUAUAGUACAUUAA